GGCGGCGUAGCUCAGCUGGCUAGAGCAUUCGGUUCAUACCCGGAGUGUCACAGGUUCAAGUCCUGUCGCCGCUACCA
rnacentral:tRNA from 1 species